rnacentral:rRNA from 1 species
AUGUUAGCGGCGGACGGGUGAGUAACACGUGGGUAACCUACCUAUAAGACUGGGAUAACUCCGGGAAACCGGGGCUAAUACCGGAUAAUAUUUUGAACCGCAUGGUUCAAUAGUGAAAGACGGUUUCGGCUGUCACUUAUAGAUGGACCCGCGCCGUAUUAGCUAGUUGGUAAGGUAACGGCUUACCAAGGCGACGAUACGUAGCCGACCUGAGAGGGUGAUCGGCCACACUGGAACUGAGACACGGUCCAGACUCCUACGGAGGCAGCAGUC